AAAGGAAUAGACGGGGGCCCGCACAAGCAGCGGAGCAUGUGGUUUAAUUCGAUGCAACGCGAAGAACCUUACCAGGUCUUGACAUCAAUGCAAGUCGGUAGAGAUACCGAUAGUCUUCGGACAGCAGAAGACAGGUGGUGCAUGGUUGUCGUCAGCUCGUGUCGUGAGAUGUUGGGUUAAGUCCCGCAACGAGCGCAACCCUUAUUGUCAGUUACUAACGCGUAGAGGCGAGGACUCUGACGAGACUGCCGGGGACAACUCGGAGGAAGGUGGGGACGACGUCAAAUCAUCAUGCCCCUUAUGACCUGGGCUACACACGUGCUACAAUGGCGACUACAAAGAGGAGCGAACACGUAAGUGCGAGCGGAUCUCAAAAAAGUCGUCUCAGUUCGGAUCGUGGGCUGCAACCCGCCCACGUGAAGUCGGAGUUGCUAGUAAUCGCGAAUCAGCAUGUCGCGGUGAAUACGUUCCCGGGCCUUGUACACACCGCCCGU
rnacentral:rRNA from 1 species